GGUUAAGCGACUAAGCGUACACGGUGGAUGCCCUGGCAGUCAGAGGCGAUGAAGGACGUGCUAAUCUGCGAUAAGCGUCGGUAAGGUGAUAUGAACCGUUAUAACCGGCGAUUUCCGAAUGGGGAAACCCAGUGUGAUUCGUCACACUAUCAUUAACUGAAUCCAUAGGUUAAUGAGGCGAACCGGGGGAACUGAAACAUCUAAGUACCCCGAGGAAAAGAAAUCAACCGAGAUUCCCCCAGUAGCGGCGAGCGAACGGGGAGCAGCCCAGAGCCUGAAUCAGUGUGUGUGUUAGUGGAAGCGUCUGGAAAGGCGCGCGAUACAGGGUGACAGCCCCGUACACAAAAAUGCACAUGCUGUGAGCUCGAUGAGUAGGGCGGGACACGUGGUAUCCUGUCUGAAUAUGGGGGGACCAUCCUCCAAGGCUAAAUACUCCUGACUGACCGAUAGUGAACCAGUACCGUGAGGGAAAGGCGAAAAGAACCCCGGCGAGGGGAGUGAAAAAGAACCUGAAACCGUGUACGUACAAGCAGUGGGAGCACGCUUAGGCGUGUGACUGCGUACCUUUUGUAUAAUGGGUCAGCGACUUAUAUUCUGUAGCAAGGUUAACCGAAUAGGGGAGCCGAAGGGAAACCGAGUCUUAACUGGGCGUUAAGUUGCAGGGUAUAGACCCGAAACCCGGUGAUCUAGCCAUGGGCAGGUUGAAGGUUGGGUAACACUAACUGGAGGACCGAACCGACUAAUGUUGAAAAAUUAGCGGAUGACUUGUGGCUGGGGGUGAAAGGCCAAUCAAACCGGGAGAUAGCUGGUUCUCCCCGAAAGCUAUUUAGGUAGCGCCUCGUGAAUUCAUCUCCGGGGGUAGAGCACUGUUUCGGCAAGGGGGUCAUCCCGACUUACCAACCCGAUGCAAACUGCGAAUACCGGAGAAUGUUAUCACGGGAGACACACGGCGGGUGCUAACGUCCGUCGUGAAGAGGGAAACAACCCAGACCGCCAGCUAAGGUCCCAAAGUCAUGGUUAAGUGGGAAACGAUGUGGGAAGGCCCAGACAGCCAGGAUGUUGGCUUAGAAGCAGCCAUCAUUUAAAGAAAGCGUAAUAGCUCACUGGUCGAGUCGGCCUGCGCGGAAGAUGUAACGGGGCUAAACCAUGCACCGAAGCUGCGGCAGCGACACUGUGUGUUGUUGGGUAGGGGAGCGUUCUGUAAGCCUGCGAAGGUGUGCUGUGAGGCAUGCUGGAGGUAUCAGAAGUGCGAAUGCUGACAUAAGUAACGAUAAAGCGGGUGAAAAGCCCGCUCGCCGGAAGACCAAGGGUUCCUGUCCAACGUUAAUCGGGGCAGGGUGAGUCGACCCCUAAGGCGAGGCCGAAAGGCGUAGUCGAUGGGAAACAGGUUAAUAUUCCUGUACUUGGUGUUACUGCGAAGGGGGGACGGAGAAGGCUAUGUUGGCCGGGCGACGGUUGUCCCGGUUUAAGCGUGUAGGCUGGUUUUCCAGGCAAAUCCGGAAAAUCAAGGCUGAGGCGUGAUGACGAGGCACUACGGUGCUGAAGCAACAAAUGCCCUGCUUCCAGGAAAAGCCUCUAAGCAUCAGGUAACAUCAAAUCGUACCCCAAACCGACACAGGUGGUCAGGUAGAGAAUACCAAGGCGCUUGAGAGAACUCGGGUGAAGGAACUAGGCAAAAUGGUGCCGUAACUUCGGGAGAAGGCACGCUGAUAUGUAGGUGAAGUCCCUCGCGGAUGGAGCUGAAAUCAGUCGAAGAUACCAGCUGGCUGCAACUGUUUAUUAAAAACACAGCACUGUGCAAACACGAAAGUGGACGUAUACGGUGUGACGCCUGCCCGGUGCCGGAAGGUUAAUUGAUGGGGU
rnacentral:rRNA from 1 species